UACGAAGGGGGCUAGCGUUGUUCGGAAUCACUGGGCGUAAAGCGCACGUAGGCGGAUUGUUAAGUCGGGGGUGAAAUCCUGAGGCUCAACCUCAGGACUGCCUUCGAUACUGGCAAUCUCGAGUCCGGAAGAGGUUGGUGGAACAGCUAGUGUAGAGGUGAAAUUCGUAGAUAUUAGCUAGAACACCAGUGGCGAAGGCGGCCAACUGGUCCGGUACUGACGCUGAGGUGCGAAAGCGUGGGAGCAAACAGG
rnacentral:rRNA from 1 species